AUUGAAUUUGACUUCUGCGUGGCGGACAUCAUGGAUUUCAGUAAUGGCGAGUGGAGUGCGCUGUUCUAAUAAUUGAGAGAAGUGUAAUUUUAUUAAUGCAUUUAUUUAAGUGUUGAUAUAUGAAAUUCUCUUAAUACUAUGGCUGAUUUAUUCGAUAUCGCAAACCUAAUAACCACAGUGGGUGUGGACGCUGUAAAAAUUAAACCAGAGCCUGGCUUGCCGCAAAAAUCAUCCAACGAGAUUUUGACAGAACUUUUCAGCACAUUUGAUGCUGACGAGGGAAUAGUAUCUCCAGAACAUAGCGAUACUCAGAUUCCAGAUAAAGAAAUAAAAGUAGAAAAGCAAGAUAAAAGUAAAAAAAAGAAGAGUAAAAAGAAGCAUAAGCAUAAGGAUAAAAAACAUAAGAAAAAAUCCAAAAAAAAUUCAUCAGACAGUAAUAGUGAUGCGGAGAAUGGAAGUACGAAAAAGAAAAAGAAACAUAAGAAGAAGUCUAAACGCAGACAUGACUCUGUAUCCAGUAAGUCAUCAGAUUCGGAGGAGCCCAAGGCUAAAAUGAAGAAGGUUGAAGAUAUUCCUGAUUCGAAGAACAAUGCAGAACAGAAAACAGGGGAAUUAAAUAAUAUAGAAAAUAUUUUGGUCCAAGACACAAAAUUACAGGAUCACUCAAUAGUGAAAAAAGAACCACAAGACAAUGAAUCUCUUAUGAAAACUAGUAGUCCUCAACUACCCCCUAUUUCUAAGAAGACAGAUGAUGAAUCUGAUGAAACUAUAAUUUCAAAAAUUUUGGAAAAACCUAAACAAGGAACUCAAGGAAAAAUUUUGAUAAAAGACCUUAAAAAUAGUAUAGUCUAUAAUGAAACAGUAAAAGAAGUAGAAAAUAAAGAGCGUGCGAAAGCUGCACGAAUGGAAGAUGGUGAAUUAAGUGAUAGUAGCGAAGACAAUGGAACCCCAACAUUAAGUCCAACACCACCACGAAAUGAUUCACCAAGAACUGGAUUGAUAAGUCCAAUUUUAAAUAAAUCUAAUAAGACGAGUCUCAGUCCAAUAGCGGUACAUGAUUUGAGGCUCGUUUUAAAGGAGAAGGAAAAGAAGAGGUUGAAGGAUGUGAAUGGAUCAAGAUUGCAAAGUAAUCGAAAAGAAAACAAAAGUUAUAAAGAAUCAAAGGAUAAAGAUAGUAGGCACAGUCGUAGCAGCAGAUCUCGUGAGAGAAAACGUUCAGAAUCUGAAACACAUUCGAAUUCACGUCACAGCAGGAGUCGAACAAGUGUCGAGAAACGAACUGGACGAAGUAAAGAAAGACGAAAUAGAGAUAAAAGUAUCGAUAGAUGUGAUCACGAAAGAAAUAAGGAUAAGAGAAAGUAUGCGAGAGAUGAAAAGGAAAGGCAUAGGAGUCGCAGUGAAGAUAAGAAUAGAAAUAAAUCUUUGAGAGGACGUAGCAGAAGUAGAGAAAGAAAAGAACGCAUUGAAAUUGAUAAGAAGAAACUUUUGGAAAUUGCAAGGCGGAAUGCAAUUAACAUGAUAAAACAAGGGACUCUGCCACUUGCACAGCAGGAUAAAGCCAUAGCUGCUAUUCAGGAUGGUGGAAAGUCUGUAGAUGAACUGACAGAUUUCUGCAAAUCCCUGUCAAAGUCUGAAGCAUUAGGCGAAUUGUCGAGCAUUUCUUCAGACGAUGAUGGGAGUAGUUCAGAAAAAGGUUUUCAUCACCCGUUUCUUGUAAAGGAUAGACCCAGUUCUAUAAUAAUGAAUAUUAAAGAUGCUAAGCAAUUGCCUACUAAAACGUUCCAAGAGAAAACAGCUGAAUCCUCAAAUCAGUUACGAUUACAAUUUCCUGUUUCAAGUGGACAGCAUCAUCGUAAGACUGAGAGUGAAUGGGUACCAGUUAUCCCAAAGAAGCCAGAACCAAAGAAAGCAUUUCUACCAGCUAGUGCACCACUAAUAUCAGUUCCACCAGCACCUCUUCCUAUAUUACCACCACCAGUUCCUGCACCUGUGAUUCAACCUGCAGUUUUUCCACAAACUCCACCAAUAGAGAAUGUUGACAUAGGUUCAAUAGUAUCUCAACGAUUAGCAGCUAUGAGAAAAUUAAGAGAAAAUCCAAAUGACGUACAGGCUCUUGGUGAAAUGUAUAGAGCUCAAACAGAGAUGAAAACGUGGGCAGAGAGUAAGCAGAUGCCAGGUCAGUUUACUGGUAGUACGGGAGCUAAAGUGCUCUCGGCAGCUGAACUUUCUGCAGGUUAUCAAGCCUGGGCUCGUAAGGUAACAACACUGAUUUGUAAUACUUGCUUAAUAUAUCCUUCCUUUUUUCUGCCUGUCCAUUUCACAAUACCUGUUUUAACAGUCAUUUAUCGAAUACAGCAAAUUACUUGUCAAACUGUAUUUACAUUGUAUAUCAUAUAUUGUAUAGAAUUUUCACCAAUUCUAUCCCAAAAUUGCCAUGAACAGCACUGCAAAUACAUAUGAUAAAUGAAUUUGCGUGAAAGAUAUUGAUUAAGAAAAAAACAGAUAUUGUUGACAUCACUUAAAACUGACAUUGUCUGUAACAAGUUUUCAGGUACAGUCUCGGUGAAGACCAUUUAGAUUUUGUAUCUUUGGUCUAAUGGAGACUGUGUUGUAGGCACAGACCAUUUCUCGCGUAGAGGUGGACUCUGUGCCUGCACGGACACAAGAGUACCAUUGUCGCAGUCAUAUUUAUCAUUUGUGUAAUAAAAUUUGUGUAUCGGGAGAACCUCACCGUGGGGGUGGAGGGGGGGGGGCGAGGAAUUAUUAUUUAUUGGCGUCAAUCUUGUCAAUGGCAAUGGACCCCUGUGAGAUUAUUGCUAAAUACCAUCAGCUUGCUGUCAUAAGGUUUUUUCAGCGAUUGCGUGAUGACCUCAUGACAAUAAAGCUGGGAUUUUAGCAUUAGUCUGCAUCCACCUGAGGAUUUGUUACAGGCACGUAGCUACAUCAGAGAAGAGUCAGCCUCAGCAGCCCGAUGACCAAAUUAAACCUUCUUCUUGGAUCAAUUAGUGUCGGCACAACCAGUGUCAGGUGGGAUGGGUAUGGCCUUACUACAGAAGAUGGGUUGGAGGCCUGGGGAGGGUUUAGGGAAAAACAAAGAAGGUACUUUGGAACCAUUGCAACUGGAAGUUAAGUUGGAUAAACGAGGAUUGGUUUCUGAGCAGGAUAUUACUAAAAAAUCAGGGAAGACUUCAAAGCCUGUGAUACCAAGAAUCAAGACAUUGGAAGGAAAACAUCCAGUGUCUCUGUUAGGGGAAUAUUGUUCAAAACGUAAAUUUGGUGCACCAGUUUAUGAACUGUGCUUCGAAUGUGGUCCAGAUCAUAUGAAGAAUUUCUUGUUUAAAGUAAAAGUAAACGGUAUUGAGUACAAACCAAGUGUAGCCAGUCCAAAUAAAAAGCAGGC